GGUCAAUCUAACUUGGAUGGUUUAGACAUUAUGGCUGAAAAUCAAUAUCCUAUGGAGAAAAUGAAUGGGAUUUUGCUGGUCUGUUGGGGGCCCCCUUGAGGGCAGGGCCUGUUUCAAUUGAAACGGGUGAAACAUAGGUAAGGCCGCGCCUGGUAGUAGUAGUAGAAGAUUGUAGCUAGCAGUAGUAUUAAGUUAGUUUGAUAACAUUUUAAAAAGGUAUAAACAAAACAAAAUAUUCUUUACUUUAAGGACAUUUUCAAGAUUAAAUAUCAUUUCAUUGUAGUCAUUGUAACCACAUCAUAAAUAGCAAUUAGAUUUAACUAAGUCUAAGGAUAAACUUCUCCCAGCAAAAUCAAACAAACACAGAUAGACUCAAGUUUCACCAACAAUAUGGUAUUAAUAUAUUAACUGAAAACUAUACAUUUCAAAUACAAUAUGAAAAUAAACAAUUGUCAAUUAACUUGCCAUCAAUCAUUGUUUCCCAAAUAUAAUUAUCAAAUUAGACAAUUGGUCUCAAUUCUCAACACAAAUAAACUUAACUGGCAACAAUUUUACACAAUGUCCAUUUUCCAACCGGUUGUGUCUCCAGUUUUCUUGAAUGAGCUGAAUGUGUCUGAAUGAGAGUUCCCUCUUUCAUGAAGGGAUUUCAGUGAAAUACUUUUUCACCAAACAUUUCACACCACCUGUUCACACUAAGGUGCACCAGUUUAAAUGUUCCCCAGGGAAACACAAGCCAAUGAUGGGUUCCACAAUGCAUGCACUUUCUCGCCCCCUGCUGGAGUUUUAUCUUGAAAGAAGUUGAAAGGGUGAAUGCUUAUGUUGUUUACUGUCUUUUGAUGCAACAGUACUGAAGGCCCAGGUGUAAAAUACACAGCCCUCCACUGCUGUAGAUAAACUGCUGGUUGCUAUGGACGCUGCUAUCUCUGAACCCACGGAUCUAGCAUGUUGUUGGUAUCAUAUGUGUUUACAGGAAUAAGGGCGGGUCUCUGUCAGAGGUGGACAUUAUCAUAAAGGCUGUGGAUGUUGAGGGUAGGGGGGUGGGCCAGGUGGACAUUUGGCAUGAGGGCACAUCCACGGGAGAUUCCAGCAUUUAUCCGGUGGAUGGUGUCAGGAUGGAAGUCUCUUCGUGGGAGGAUGGUAGAGAUUAUAAUCUUUGAUGAGGGGAAGGUCUGUGUAGC